GGGGGCGUAGCUCAGUUGGGAGAGCACCUGCCUUGCAAGCAGGGGGUCAGGAGUUCGAAUCUCCUCGUCUCCA
rfam:Veillonella parvula DSM 2008, complete genome.